rnacentral:rRNA from 1 species
CAGUAGCCGCGGUAAUACGAAGGGUGCAAGCGUUAAUCGGAAUUACUGGGCGUAAAGCGUGCGUAGGCGGUUUGUUAAGUCUGUUGUGAAAUCCCCGUGCUCAACCUGGGAAUGGCAAUGGAUACUGGCAAGCUAGAGUGUGUCAGAGGAUGGUGGAAUUCCCGGUGUAGCGGUGAAAUGCGUAGAGAUCGGGAGGAACAUCAGUGGCGAAGGCGGCCAUCUGGGACAACACUGACGCUGAGGCACGAAAGCGUGGGGAGCAAACAGGAUUAGAUACCCCUGUAGUCCCUGUCUCUUAUAC